rnacentral:rRNA from 1 species
AUGAACGCUGGCGGCGUGCCUAAUACAUGCAAGUCGAGCGAACGGACGAGAAGCUUGCUUCUCUGAUGUUAGCGGCGGACGGGUGAGUAACACGUGGAUAACCUACCUAUAAGACUGGGAUAACUUCGGGAAACCGUAGCUAAUACCGGAUAAUAUUUUGAACCGCAUGGUUCAAAAGUGAAAGACGGUCUUGCUGUCACUUAUAGAUGGAUCCGCGCUGCAUUAGCUAGUUGGUAAGGUAACGGCUUACCAAGGCAACGAUGCAUAGCCGACCUGAGAGGGUGAUCGGCCACACUGGAACUGAGACACGGUCCAGACUCCUACGGGAGGCAGCAGUAGGGAAUCUUCCGCAAUGGGCGAAAGCCUGACGGAGCAACGCCGCGUGAGUGAUGAAGGUCUUCGGAUCGUAAAACUCUGUUAUUAGGGAAGAACAUAUGUGUAAGUAACUGUGCACAUCUUGACGGUACCUAACCAGAAAGCCACGGCUAACUACGUG